rnacentral:lncRNA from 1 species
GGCUUACUGAAUAUACAGCUAUUCUUCAGCUUCCUGGUUCAUUCUAAGCUGAUAGCUAAUCUUUGGCAUUUGGUGCAUUGGGCUUAAUUAUGAUAAAGAAUGUUUAAUGGGUUAUCUUGAACAAAAUGGUGCACUUAACGACAAUUUUAAGAAUAGUUUUGUUCAACAAAGCUUGUUAUUUAAAGAAAUGAAUGUAUAGUCUCCAAAGAAAAAUUUUAUUAAAAUUGUAUUAAGGUUAUAGAAAUGGCAAAGUAUGUUAUUUUCUUCCCUUUGUGUUCUCUAGCUAUUCAGCCUUCCCUCACCGAUUCGAAGCAUUGAAAGGUCCUCGCCUGCUGAUGUUUCAGUUUCCUUGUUCCUAGCAAGAGCUUCGGAAUCAACAGAAGGGAACAAAGGCACCCGAAAAGCCCAGAUGGGUCACGACAACCAGUGAUUUUGAGCUCAGUUGUAUCGAUAUUUAUUUGCGACCUACUGAUUCAACCAAAAGAGGAGCUGGAGUGUCUGAGAUAUGCUCAGCUGGCAAUCUUCCACCAAUCAGUGUCUUAAGCCCAGACCUGGAAAUGGAGCAGUGGAUUUUAUGGGAAACAAACACCAAUGAUAAGGUUUGAUAUAUCUGUUAUUUGAUGAAACAAUAAGGAAAUUCAGAUGCAAGAUAC